rnacentral:rRNA from 1 species
UACGUGAGGGUGCAAGCGUUUGUCCGGAAUUAUUGGGCGUAAAGAGCUCGUAGGCGGUUUGUCGCGUCUGCUGUGAAAACUCAGGGCUUAACUCUGAGCUUGCAGUGGGUACGGGCAGACUAGAGUCGGUAGGGGAGUGUGGAAUUCCCGGUGUAGCGGUGAAAUGCGCAGAGAUCGGGAGGAACACCCGUAGCGAAGGCGGCACUCUGGGCCGGUACUGACGCUGAGGAGCGAAAGCGUGGGGAGCAAACAGG